GGAGCUGGAGCGGAAGACCCGGCGGAUCUCGCGGGAGCAGGCCCUUUGCAAUGCAGUGCCCUCUCUCCGCAAGUUCGACAAGGAGAAGCUUGAGCGCUUAGCUGAAUGCUUCC
rnacentral:ribozyme from 1 species